GAUGAAGAACGUAGUGAAAUGCGAUACUUGGUGUGAAUUGCAGAAUCCCGUGAACCAUCGAGUCUUUGAACGCAAGUUGCGCCCGAAGCCAUCAGGUUGAGGGCACGUCUGCCUGGGCGUCACAUAUCGUUGCCCAAUGCCUAUUGCAGUGCAAUAGGAAUUUCUAGGGCGAAUGAUGGCUUCCCGUGAGCGUUGUUGCCUCGCGGUUGGUUGAAAAUCGAGUCCUUGGUAGGGUGUGCCAUGGUAGAUGGUGGUCGAGUUAGAACGAUACCGAUCAUGUGCAUGCUCCCCAAAAUAUGGCCUCUAUGACCCACACGCGUCUUUUGACGCUCAUGACGAGACCUCAGGUCAGGCGGGGCUACCCGCUGAAUUUAAGCAUAUAAUAAGCGGAGGA
rnacentral:misc_RNA from 1 species